rnacentral:tRNA from 1 species
CCAGAGAGGUGGCUGAGAGGCUUAAGGCGCCUGACUGAUAAUCAGGUGAACCUGUAAAAGGGUUCCGGGGGUUCGAAUCCCCUCUUCUGAA